UACGAAGGGUGCAAGCGUUACUCGGAAUUACUGGGCGUAAAGAGUUGCGUAGGUGGCAUAGCAAGCAGAUAGUGAAAGAUCACGGCUCAACCGUGGGUACAUUAUCUGAACUGCUAAGCUUGAGUAUGAGAGAGGUAGAUGGAAUUUCUAGUGUAGGAGUGAAAUCCGUAGAUAUUAGAAGGAACACCGAUGGCGUAGGCAGUCUACUGGCUCAUUACUGACACUAAGGCACGAAAGCGUGGGGAGCGAACGGG
rnacentral:rRNA from 1 species